rnacentral:rRNA from 1 species
AGUUUCUGACCUAUCAACUCGAGACGGCGGGGUAGAGGCCCGCCGCGGUAACGACGGGUAACGGGGAAUCAGGGUUCGAUUCCGGAGAGGGAGCCCGAGAAACGGCUACCACUUCCAAGGAAGGCAGCAGGCGCGCAACUUACCCUAAUCUCGAUUCGAGGAGGUAGUGACAAGAAAUACCGAUGCGGGACCCUACGGGGUGCCGCGUUCGGAAUGAGUACGAUUCGAACCACCUAACGAGGAACGAUCGGAGGGCAAGUCUGGUGCCAGCAGCCGCGGUAAUUCCAGCUCCAAUAGCGUACGUUAAAGUUGCUGCAGUUAAAAAGCUCGUAGUUGAACGUUCGGGUUCCGCGGGACGGGGCCGCCCCGCGAGGGACGGCGCCGCCCCGGGGCUCGUGAUAUCUCAUCUCGCCGCCCGUCGCGAGGCGGACGGAGGGAUGGAUGAGGUUACCUGGAAAAAAAUCGGGGCG